rnacentral:pre_miRNA from 1 species
AAUAUAUUCCCUCCGUUUCAUAAUUCUUGUCGAAAUAUUACAUGUAUCUAGACGCUUUUUAGGAAUAGAUAUAUCCAUAUUUGGGCAAAUUUUAGACAAGAAUUAUAGUACGGAGGAAGUACAUA